CAGCCACAUCACAUUGAAAUAUCGGUUCCCAUACAAUCACCGAAGUUAAACAAUGUCGAGCCUGCUCAGUACCAACAUAGGUGACCACUUGGGAAUAUCAG